ACAGGCUCACACCACCACACCCGGCUAAUUUUUGCAUUUUUAGUAGAGACGGGGUUUCACCAUGUUGGCUAGAAUGGUCUUGAUCUCUUGACCUUGUGAUCUGCCCGCCUCUGCCUCCCAAAGUGCGGGGAUUACAGGCGUGAGCCACUGCGCCUGGACAGUUAUUUUUUUAUGACUUCUUGUUUUUAUUUCUAUCACUAAUCUCUCCUUUAUCUUUUUGAGGAUUUUAUUACCUUAAUUUAACUUUUUGGUCUACCAGUUUCAAUAACUAUGCUUCAAAUGGUUCAUGUUGGUCUUUUUGGGGGGUAUUUUGUUACAAUUUCUGUACAUCUCAGGUUCUGGUGAUUUUGGCUUGUGAGCCUGUGUUUCCUGGGCUGGAGUGGGGGUUGUUCUCAGCUACUGCAUCUGGAGGUAUUGGGGGAAAUCCUCAGUGUGGACAGCCAAAGGCACUGCAGAACUAGUGUCACCAUUUUGUUUGCGGUCAUUCCGCUGGGCAACAUCCUGGAUGGGAAUUUGCCUUUAAGCUUUAUGUUGUGCACAUGUACCCUGGAACUUAAAGUAUAAUAAAAAUCUAUCUAUAUAUAUACAAAAUAAAAAAAUAAAAUAUUCACUCAUACAUGUGGAAAAAAAAUAAAAAAAUAAAAAAAUAAAAAGCAGCUCUGGGAAAAGGCAGUCUCCCUGGAUUUAAACCUCCAGCUCUGUGGAUUUGCAGUGGGAGGAAGCUUGUUGCCUCAGAUCAGCCCCCGACUUACUUGCAUCAGCUUUUUAUCCUGAUAGGCCUUGUGUUUUGCCCUGCUUGUUUCUUCUCUGGAGGCAA
rnacentral:lncRNA from 10 species